AUUUUGGAGCAGUACAGGCUGGGAGACAGGUGCCGAACAGAGGCUGUUUGGAACUCAUGAAUGUCCUGGGGCCCAACAAUGCAGAGAGCUAAGCAGGGCUGGUUAGUACUGACCUGGUGAUAACCACACUGAUAGGUUUACCUGCAGUAUUGAUUCGGAAUGCUCGCCCACCCAGGACAUGCUCUCCACCUCUACUGCUAUCUAUAUGCAAGGCUCAGCUGGCCCAUCAUCUGCUCAGAAGAAAUUAAAAGUGGGCCUAUAUUUGAAACUCAAAUUGUUUCCUGUUGACUCAAACUAGACCAACUCAUUCAAAGCAAGCCCCCGAGGCUCCUCCAGCUGCCCCCAUCCCCACCUCUGUGCUUUCUCACAAAGGGACAGCACUUUCACUCAACUCACCUUCAAACAGGCCUGUUUAGUUUAAUAGAACCAUGGACCCUCUCAUGCUAAGUGCUGUACCACUGAGAGCACACCGGGCACUUUGACACGAGAGAGGCCUUUUUCUUCACGUAGCUACCUGAGUAGCUACACAGUUAAAGUCAUUCACUUCACGACUGUGGGUCUGAGCUUACCUCAUUUCCAGCUGCCGAGUGACCCCUGGGUUUAUGGGGCUGUAUGGACCUUCCAGCCACCAGGACUGUCUCGAGGAAUGCUUUGGUGGCUUGGUGGGAAGCAGUCCCUCGCUGACUAAGAAGGGAGCUAAAUAAACCUGCACAGGUGCUUCGAGCUCCAUCUGGGUGGGUAACACCCUUCGCAUCUAC
ensembl:antisense Gm13536 predicted gene 13536